rnacentral:rRNA from 1 species
UGAGGAAUAUUGGUCAAUGGGCGAGAGCCUGAACCAGCCAAGUCGCGUGAAGGAAGACAGUCCUAAGGAUUGUAAACUUCUUUUAUACGGGAAUAACGGGCGAUACGAGUAUUGCAUUGAAUGUACCGUAAGAAUAAGCAUCGGCUAACUCCGUGCCAGCAGCCGCGGUAAUACGGAGGAUGCGAGCGUUAUCCGGAUUUAUUGGGUUUAAAGGGUGCGUAGGUUGUUCGGUAAGUCAGCGGUGAAACCUGAGCGCUCAACGUUCAGCCUGCCGUUGAAACUGCCGGGCUUGAGUUCAGUGGCGGCAGGCGGAAUUCGUGGUGUAGCGGUGAAAUGCGUGGAUAUCACGAGGAACUCCGAUUGCGAAGGCAGCUUGCCAUACUGCGACUGACACUGAAGCACGAAGGCGUGGGUAUCAAACAGG